UACGUAGGGUGCAAGCGUUGUCCGGAAUUAUUGGGCGUAAAGAGCUCGUAGGCGGUCUGUCGCGUCGGCUGUGAAACCCGGGGCUCAACCCGGGCCUGCAGUCGAUACGGGCAGACUAGAGUGCGGUAGGGGAGACUGGAAUUCCUGGUGUAGCGGUGAAAUGCGCAGAUAUCAGGAGGAACACCGGUGGCGAAGGCGGGUCUCUGGGCCGUAACUGACGCUGAGGAGCGAAAGCGUGGGAGCGAACAGG
rnacentral:rRNA from 1 species